ensembl:lncRNA
AAACAGGAAAGGCCUUCCCCAAACUGUUGCCACAAAGUUGGAAGAAAACAAUUGUCUAGGUUGGCAUUGUAUGCUGUAGCGUUAAGAUUUUCCUUCACUGGAACUAAGGGGCCUGAACCAUGAAAAACAGCCCCAGACCAUUAUUCCUCCUCCACCAAACUGUACAGUUGGCACUAUGCAUUGGGGCACUAUGCAUUGAGUGCCAUAUGGUGAAGCUUAAUUCAUCACUCAAGAGAACGCGUUUCCACUGCUCCAGAGUCCAAUGGCGGCGAGCUUUACACCACUCCAGCCACAGCAGUCAACUAGCCAACCACAGCGGUCAACUAGCCUGCCACAGCGGUCAACUAGCCUGCCACAGCGGUCAACCAGCCUGCCACAGCGGUCAACUAGCUAGCCACAGCGGUCAACUAGCCAGCCACAGCAGUCAACUAGCUAGCCUCAGCAGUCAACUAGCUAGCCACAGCAGUCAACUAGCUAGCCUCAGCGGUCAACUAGCUAGUCACAGCGGUCAACUAGCUAGCCACAGCGGUCAACUAGCUAGCCACAGCAGUCAACUAGCUAGCCACAGCGGUCAACUAGCUAGCCACAGCGGUCAACUAGCUAGC